AAGUCGGAGUCGCUAGUAAUCGCAGAUCAGCAACGCUGCGGUGAAUACGUUCCCGGGCCUUGUACACACCGCCCGUCAAGUCACGAAAGUCGGUAACACCCGAAGCCGGUGGCCUAACCCUUGUGGGGGGAGCCGUCGAAGGUGGGACCAGCGAUUGGGACUAAGUCGUAACAAGGUAGCCGUACCGGAAGGUGCGGCUGGAUCACCUCCUUUCUAAGGAG
rnacentral:rRNA from 1 species